rnacentral:rRNA from 1 species
CCGGAGAAUGUUAUCACGGGAGACACACGGCGGGUGCUAACGUCCGUCGUGAAGAGGGAAACAACCCAGACCGCCAGCUAAGGUCCCAAAGUCAUGGUUAAGUGGGAAACGAUGUGGGAAGGCCCAGACAGCCAGGAUGUUGGCUUAGAAGCAGCCAUCAUUUAAAGAAAGCGUAAUAGCUCACUGGUCGAGUCGGCCUGCGCGGAAGAUGUAACGGGGCUAAACCAUGCACCGAAGCUGCGGCAGCGACGCUUAUGCGUUGUUGGGUAGGGGAGCGUUCUGUAAG